UACGGAGGGGGCUAGCGUUGUUCGGAAUUACUGGGCGUAAAGCGCACGUAGGCGGCUUUGUAAGUUAGAGGUGAAAGCCCGGGGCUCAACUCCGGAAUUGCCUUUAAGACUGCAUCGCUAGAAUUGUGGAGAGGUAAGUGGAAUUCCGAGUGUAGAGGUGAAAUUCGUAGAUAUUCGGAAGAACACCAGUGGCGAAGGCGACUCACUGGACAGGUAUUGACGCUGAGGUGCGAAAGCGUGGGGAGCAAACAGG
rnacentral:rRNA from 1 species